rnacentral:rRNA from 1 species
GGGGGCCCGCACAAGCGGUGGAUGAUGUGGAUUAAUUCGAUGCAACGCGAAAAACCUUACCUACUCUUGACAUGUCCGGAAUCCUUGAGAGAUUGAGGAGUGCCCGAAAGGGAACCGGAACACAGGUGCUGCAUGGCUGUCGUCAGCUCGUGUCGUGAGAUGUUGGGUUAAGUCCCGCAACGAGCGCAACCCUUGUCAUUAGUUGCCAUCAUUAAGUUGGGCACUCUAAUGAGACUGCCGGUGACAAACCGGGGAGGAAGGUGGGGAUGACGUCAAGUCCUCAUGGCCCUUAUAGGUGGGGCUACACACGUCAUACAAUGGCAGGUACAAAGGGUUGCCAACCCGCGAGGGGGAGCUAAUCCCAUAAAGCCAGUCGUAGUCCGGAUCGCAGUCUGCAACUCGACUGCGUGAAGUCGGAAUCGCUAGUAAUCGUGGAUCAGAAUGUCACGGUAAUACGU